rnacentral:rRNA from 1 species
GGACUACUGGGGUUUCUAAUCCUGUUUGAUCCCCACGCUGUCGCGCCUGAGCGUCAGAAACGGGCCAGUGAGCCGCCUUCGCCACCGGUGUUCUUCCCAAUAUCUACGAAUUUCACCUCUACACUGGGAAUUCCACUCACCUCUCCCGUACUCUAGCCAUCUAGUUUCAAGGGCAGUUCCAGAGUUGAGCUCUGGGCUUUCACCCCUGACUUGAAUGGCCGCCUGCGCGCGCUUUACGCCCAGUAAUUCCGAACAACGCUAGCCCCCUUCGUAUUACCGCGGCUGCUGGCAC